AUUGAACGCUGGCGGCAGGCCUAACACAUGCAAGUCGAGCGAGCGGCGGACGGGUGAGUACUGUCUGGGAAACUGCCUGUUGGAGGGGGAUAAGUAUUGGAAACGGUAGCUAAUACAGCAUACCAUCAGAUGUGCCCAGAUGGGAUUAGCUCGUAGGUGGGGCAACGGCUCACCUAGGCGACGAUCCCUAGCUGGUCUGAGAGGGUGACCAGCCACACUGGAACUGAGACACGGGCCAGACUCCUACGGGAGGCAGCAGUGGGGAAUAUUGCACAAUGGGCGCAAGCCUGAUGCAGCCAUGCCGCGUGUGUGAAGAAGGCCUUCGGGUUGUAAAGCACUUUCAGCGGGGAGGCGGUACCCACAGAAGAAGCACCGGCUAACUCCGUGCCAGCCGCCGCGGUAAUUC
rnacentral:rRNA from 1 species